AGACGGCUAACUACGUGCCAGCAGCCGCGGUAAUACGUAGGUCUCAAGCGUUGUCCGGAUUUACUGGGCGUAAAGUGUCCGUAGUCUGAAUUGUAAGUCUGUUUUCAAAUCCUACGACUCAAUCGUAGAAAGGGAGUGGAUACUGCAAUUCUGGAAGUAUCUGGGGGUUAGUGGAAUUUCCGGUGGAGCGGUGAAAUGCGUUGAUAUCGGAAGGAACGCCGAAAGCGAAAGCAGCUAACUACAGAAUACUUGACGAUGAGGGACGACAGUUCGGGUAGCAAACAGGAUUAGAUACCCUGGUAGUCCGAACCGUAAAUUAUGCUUGCUAGAUGUUUUUGUCAAUUUAUUGGCAGGAGUGUCGUAAUCUAACGAGUUAAGCAAGUCGCCUGGGUAGUAUAUUCGCAAGAAUGAAACUCAAAGGGAUAGGCGGGGGAACACACAAGCAGUGGAUUAUCUAGAUUAAUUGGAUACUAAGCCAAGAAUCUUACCUAGGAUUGACAUGUAUUGUGUCUGCGGUGAAAGUCGCAUAUCCGUAGCAAUACGGAGCUUUACACAGAUGGUGCAUGGUCGUCGUCAGCUCGUGCCGCAAGGUGUCUAGUUAAGUCUGGAAACGAGCGCAACCCUCAUGCUUAGUUAGUAUGUCUAAGCAGACUGCUCGGGUAACCGAGAGGAAGGAGAGGAUGACGUCAGAUCCUCAUGCCUCUUACACCUAGGGCCUCAUAGAUAAUACAAUGGGUAGGUACAGCGAGAAGCAAGACCGCGAGGUGGAGCAAAUCUUUAAAACUACCCCUAGUUCGGAUUGUAGUCUGGAACUCGACUACAUGAAGUUGGAAUUGCUAGUAAUGGCAGAUCAGCCAUGCUGCCGUGAAUAUGUCCCUGUUCCUUGCA
rnacentral:rRNA from 1 species